AGUGAACGCUGGCGGUAGGCCUAACACAUGCAAGUCGAACGGCAGCACAGUAAGAGCUUGCUCUUACGGGUGGCGAGUGGCGGACGGGUGAGGAAUACAUCGGAAUCUACUUUUUCGUGGGGGAUAACGUAGGGAAACUUACGCUAAUACCGCAUACGACCUACGGGUGAAAGCAGGGGAUCUUCGGACCUUGCGCGAUUGAAUGAGCCGAUGUCGGAUUAGCUAGUUGGCGGGGUAAAGGCCCACCAAGGCGACGAUCCGUAGCUGGUCCGAGAGGAUGAUCAGCCACACUGGAACUGAGACACGGUCCAGACUCCUACGGGAGGCAGCAGUGGGGAAUAUUGGACAAUGGGCGCAAGCCUGAUCCAGCCAUACCGCGUGGGUGAAGAAGGCCUUCGGGUUGUAAAGCCCUUUUGUUGAGAAAGAAAAGCAGCAGGUUAAUACCCCGCUGUUCUGACGGUACCCAAAGAAUAAGCACCGGCUAACUUCGUG
rnacentral:rRNA from 1 species